GCGCCUUCAGGAGGAUGACUAUGUUGUAGGGGGUCCAGCAGAUGAAGAAGGUGAGCACGAUGACAAAGAUCAGCUUCACCGCUCUGCACUUCUCUCUCAUGCGCGUGGAGAGGACCCUCAUAGUGAUACGCAUGUAGCAGUACAGCACAAUUGCUACAGGGAUCAGGAAGAAGA